CCUACGGGUGGCAGCAGUCGAGAAUCAUUCACAAUGGGGGAAACCCUGAUGGUGCGACGCCGCGUGGGGGAAUGAAGGUCUUCGGAUUGUAAACCCCUGUCAUGUGGGAGCAAAUUAAAAAGAUAGUACCACAAGAGGAAGAGACGGCUAACUCUGUGCCAGCAGCCGCGGUAAUACAGAGGUCUCAAGCGUUGUUCGGAAUCACUGGGCGUAAGGCGUGCGUAGGCUGUUUCGUAAGUCGUGUGUGAAAGGCGCGGGCUCAACCCGCGGACGGCACAUGAUACUGCGAGACUAGAGUAAUGGAGGGGGAACCGGAAUUCUCGGUGUAGCAGUGAAAUGCGUAGAUAUCGGGAGGAACACUCGUGGCGAAGGCGGGUUCCUGGACAUUAACUGACGCUGAGGCACGAAGGCGAGGGGAGCGAAAGGGAUUAGAUACCCCGGUAGUC
rnacentral:rRNA from 1 species